rnacentral:rRNA from 1 species
CCUACGGGGGGCUGCAGUGGGGAAUCUUGGACAAUGGGCGAAAGCCUGAUCCAGCAAUGCCGCGUGCGUGAAGAAGGCCUUCGGGUUGUAAAGCGCUUUUGUCGGGGAGGAAAUCCUAACGGUUAAUACCUGUUGGGGAUGACAGUACCCGAAGAAUAAGCACCGGCUAACUACGUGCCAGCAGCCGCGGUAAUACGUAGGGUGCAAGCGUUAAUCGGAAUUACUGGGCGUAAAGCGUCCGCAGGUGGCUUGAUAAGAUAGACGUGAAAUCCCUGGGCUCAACCUAGGAAUUGCGUAUAUGACUGUCUCGCUAGAGUAUGGGAGAGGGGGGUGGAAUUCCGCGUGUAGCAGUGAAAUGCGUAGAGAUGCGGAGGAACACCGAUGGCGAAGGCAACCCCCUGGCCUAAUACUGACACUCAUGGACGAAAGCGUGGGGAGCAAACAGGAUUAGAUACCCCAGUAGUC